ensembl:lncRNA
AUAUAUAUAUAUAUACUUAUUAAGUUUUACUUUUUUUUUUUGUGAUUUCAUCGUGUUGAACUGAUCUUAACUGGGACAUUCAAGCUGAGAUUGCAGAGGGAUUAAUUGUGUGUAUUUGUUUCUGCAGGGUCGACAGUGUGCUAAAGCAAAUGACAGAGCUACGUGACCAUGACAGAAGAUUGCAGCUUCUGGAGACAAAGGUCAGCAAUAUCUUGUACACUAGAUCAAUAAUAUAGGUUUUUGGAACAUUUUGAGUGAUUUUUAAGAAUUUUAAAUUUUUUCUCUUACAACUUUACUUCUUACAACAAAGUUUUCUCUUUACUUAAAAAUCAACUCAAAGGCUUCUGUAACCCAGACAGAGAACUAAACAUUUUACACAUUUUCCAUUUGUACAUGUAGUUUUACUGGUUGAGUCUGCCGCCUACUAGCUGUAUUUUUAUAAAGAAAAACUCCGAACACAGUUGGAGUGCUUUGUUUCACUGUGUAUAAUCUGUGGGAAUGUGCAGGUAAAUGAACAUGUGUUCAUAUUUGUGUGUAGUAUGUGUGCAUGGUGGCUCUGGUUUCCCCUCAGCUCAUCUGUGUGUGUCUCUCAGCUGGAGUACUGCUGCAGCGCUCUCUCCUGGAUGACAGACGCUCUGUCUCAGAGUCCCCUGAUGAAGGCUGGCCGCCUGCCCUCUGCCCCUCAGAGAUCUGACUCUGUCUGCAAGCAGACUACCUGAACUCUGGGAUCUCACACACACAUAUACACACACAAUGUUUUUUUCGAUGAAUCUUGAAUUUUGUUUUUUAAAGAUUCAUUUAAUUUGAUAUAUUUGUCAACAGUAGUACUGCUGGAAUGCAUUGUUGUCUGCUACAGUCCGACUAGAUUUUUAUAGCUCAAACCUUUUGUUUUGAAAAUUGUAGCUGAAUAUAUAUGUGGGUUAUGUGCUACACUGUACACGGUAGCCAUCCGCAUGGAAUCAAAGCCUGUGUAGGGAUGGCAUCAUUGUUUUGCAAGAGGGACGCUCGGGUGAUGUAGGUUAGAGGUUCCUCCGUCACCAUUUUACGUUCCAGUCUUACACUAAGCCACACAUUCAAGUGAAAAGGUCCUCUAGACCAAACUACGGUGGCCUUGAAGUGCAAAACACAACGACAAAUAGGAAAACACAACGAAAUUGACUUCUUACAGAAAGGGAAGGGCCUUAUAGCAGGAAGCAGUGGACGGACCCUUCUCAUGAUCUGGCGAUGUUUUACGAGUGUCUUAAAAGUGUCCUACUAGUGUUUCACCAUUGUUUUGUUGUUCAAUUAUAUUUAGGUGUUGUAUUUAAAAGUAAAUAAAAGCGCAGGGGGGGGUGGGGGGGUUGCCGCGGACGCUACGCGGGGGUCGGGUGCCGCGAACACUACGGCCGGUGGACGCCGCGGACGCGAUGGCCGACACGGCUCGGGGACCGAGGAAUUGGAUGUGUGGCGGGACUGCGUGACAAGAGACCGAAAUGGGGGACACUUGAGAGCCCUGCAUCCUUUCCUGUUAAAAGACAGACAGUCCGUCUGUCCAAUCAGAAGGGUCCAUCCUCUGCUAUAUGGCCCUACCCUUUCCGUAAGGAGUUCAUUUUGUUGUGUUUUCCUAUUUGUCGUUGUGUUUUGCACUUGAGGGUCACCGUACCAAACAGACCAAGUCAGGUUUUGUUAAAUAAAGGGCUUUACUUGUGUCAUAUGAAACUAGAAAUAUUCCUGUCUUCUACACUGGUUUUCUAGCCUUCUGACCACUCAAAGCUCUUUAACACUUCAUGUCGUUAUUCAGCCGAUCACACACACUGAUGACAGCAGCUACCACACACAGUGACACCUGCCCAUCAGCAACUAACAUUCACACACCUUGGUCACAGCUACGGGAGCAAAGUUUGGUGUCUUCAAGGACAUGCAAACUAGCUGGGGAUCAAACCUCUGAUUGAGGAUUGAUGAUGAAGUGCACUAAUGGCUUCUUACAUUAUGGUUAAUAUUACAUUAUGAGCAAAUAAAAUAAAACUAUAAUUCAUGCUUUCUAUCACAAAGGAUGUAAUUUGUGACAAUUGACAAUCUGUUAAUUGUCCUCUGUUCUAAUUUUCUGUAAAGAAUGCAACCUUUGGAAAUGCAUUGAUAAUGAUUGAGAGAAAUAAAUAGUUUUUAUGAGUGAAGAA